GUGAAUCAUCGAAUUUUUGAACGCAAAUUGCGCCUUUUUCGGAAGGCAUGUCUGUUUGAGGGCACCAUUUAACAAAUAAUGUGCAUUUCGUGUGCACACGUUGACGAGCUUUCCAAAUUUAUGUAUUAUUUUUUGUUGGGCAUUAUAAACAGCCCGAUUCUUUUUUUCAGUUUGGGUGGAGGAAAAUUUUUUUUUGCUUGGGUUGGUAAAAGCGGGGACGGGCAAUGGGUGUGGGC
rnacentral:misc_RNA from 1 species